UAAGGAGGGUGCGAGCAGUAAUCGGAAUCACUGGGCGUAAAGCGCACGUAGGCGGUGUCGUAAGUCGGAUGUGAAAGCCCUCGGCUCAACCGGGGAACUGCAUUCGAUACUGCGAUGCUUGAGUGCCGGAGAGGGUGGCGGAAUUCCAGGUGUAGGAGUGAAAUCCGUAGAUAUCUGGAGGAACACCGGUGGCGAAGGCGGUCACCUGGCCGGCAACUGACGCUGAGGUGCGAAAGCGUGGGGAUCAAACAGG
rnacentral:rRNA from 1 species